GAAGGUAUAGCUCAGUAGUAGAGUAUGUGCUUGACAUGCACGAGGUCCUGGGUUCAAUCCUCAGUACCUCCA
rnacentral:tRNA from 1 species